rnacentral:rRNA from 1 species
GAUGAACGCUAGCGGGAGGCCUAAUACAUGCAAGUCGAACGGUAAAUGGUAGCAAUACUAUGAGAGUGGCGUACGGGUGCGUAACGCGUACACAACCUGCCUUGUACUGGGGGAUAGCCUCGGGAAACUGAGAUUAAUACCCCAUAAUUUUACGAUGUGGCAUCACAUUGUAAUUAAAGCUCCGGCGGUACAAGAUGGGUGUGCGUCCGAUUAGGUAGUUGGUGAGGUAACGGCUCACCAAGCCGACGAUCGGUAGCUGGUCUGAGAGGACGAGCAGCCACACGGGCACUGAGACACGGGCCCGACUCCUACGGGAGGCAGCAGUAGGGAAUAUUGGACAAUGGACGCAAGUCUGAUCUAGCCAUCCCGCGUGAAGGAUUAAGGCCCUCUGGGUUGUAAACUUCUUUUCUUUGGGAAUAAAAAGCGGUAUUCAUAUCGCCUUGAAGGUACCAGGGGAAUAAGCACCGGCUAACUCCGUGCCAGCAGCCGCCGUAA